CUGGCCGCGGUGAGGCUGCUGCCAUGUUGGCUCUCUGCGGGAGCAACUGGCUCUGGCUGCGGCUGCCCGGCCUGUACGCAUAGGAUCUUCCUCAUUCCCCUCACCCGCCGUUGGCGCUGAGAGGCGGCGUCCGGCGGGAUGGAGAAAAGUAGGAUGAACCUGCCCAAGGGGCCGGACACGCUGUGCUUCGACAAGGACGAGUUCAUGAAGGAAGACUUUGAUGUGGAUCACUUUAUGUCUGACUGUCGGAAGCGAGUCCAGCUGGAAGCACUUAGAGAUGACCUGGAGCUCUAUUAUAAGCUGCUUAAAACAGCGAUGGUUGAGCUCAUCAACAAGGACUACGCAGACUUUGUCAACCUGUCAACAAACCUGGUUAUUCCAUCAGUUGAGAAAAUUGAAAAAAUCUAAUUCUCAACAUUCUAAAGAAACAUCUACACUAGAAGCAAGCAGCGUAUAGCUGGUAUUGCAGCCAUGUUACAACAGUCACUGGAAGGCCUCCUAUUAGAAGGUCUUCAGACUUCCAGUGUCGAUAUUAUUCAGCACUGCUUACGGACUUAGGCCACAAUUGACAAGACACGGGAUGCAGAGGCGUCAGUUGGUCAAGUCCUCGUGAAACUGUACGUAGAUGAGGUUUGUGUACUGUUGAAUAAGGCCUUCAUUCAGCAGAUGUUCAUAGAGCAUCUUCUCUGUCUUGGAUGCUUUACUGGGUGUAAGGGGUAGUUUAGAGGCCUUUCUGUAAAGAUUCUCAGUUACUGUAGUACCAUCAGUUGGAAGAAAAGGUUGGUCCCUGGUGGUUACAACCAGCAUGCAGGAGUCAGGCACCUUCUCAGUAUUUUUUAGUGAUGCUGUAGCCCAGGGAUCAUGUUAAUUUAGUGGGAGGAGGGUCUUGCCUAGGGAGAAGGAAUGUAUCAGAACAUUUUUAGGUCAGUUUUAUGGUAUGUAAAUUAUUUGCCACUAAAUUCUUAAAAUGAAUUUUUAACUAUUGGUCUAGUGGGUAAAAUGGAACAAGUAAGCAGAUACCAAAGCCGCAGCAUAAGUUCCUGGUGAGGGAGCCUGCUGAAACCCUGACCAUGGAAAAUCUGUGCUGAAGGUUGUCUUCACAGAGAUGUGGCCUAAGUCUUGAAUACUGAGGAGUCUCUUAGCCAGGAAGGUGGGAGGGAGGAAAUAGUCACUGAUGCAGGACUUUCCUAGGCAAAUUAGCAGCGUAAUACCCUAAGUCCAAAACCUCACUAUCCAGUGUCCUUCAUCUCCAAGGAUGCAGUUACACUUUGGAAAGCAAGCAUAUUCUGCCUUUGAGCAGCCAGGAUGUAGACUGUACCAUAUGAAGUUGCCAAUACUCAACGUCUUCUGACACACAAAAGCAGCAGCUUCAUCUGGUUCAAACUGAUAAAAGUCACAAGCCCAUCCUCAGUGUUUGCAGACUCUUCAGUCCUCUGUCAGUGUGGGUGCUCUUUCUGUCCAGUAAGUACAAAGCCCUGUUCACCAUGACUUUGGGAUGAAAGCCUCCCAUUUAUAAAUGGGGGAAAUGGAAUCCCAUUGAUAACAAUGAAAUGUAAGGAUUAACUUCAGUAAUCCUUUCAGCUUUUAUUAGAGUUACUAAAAGUAAAUGAUCUGUCAGUUUCCUCUCUUCCUAUCCUGUUGUAUUUCUUACCUAACUUGAUAAGAAUGAAAAAGACAAAUUACCUACAUUAUUUCUGUCCCAGUAAGUGAAAAUCAUUACUAACUUAUGCCUUUGUUUUUCACUGAACUGAACCUAAUGUGCUAAAUGAGAGAAAUAUUUGAUGUUUCAGUGGCAUAUUAAAUAAACCAAGGCCACAUUUUAAUUUUUUUUAAAUUUGUAUGCUUAUCUUGUCAUUAGCCUCUUGACUCUCAACCUUAACACAAAAGAUAAAAUAAUUAAGUAAAAUAAAAUAUAUAUUUACAUCUUCCUCUGUCUCACGCCUUCCCCUGAUCUGAAUUAUGGUAGAAGAAAAGGCCGAGGUCAGUACAGGGAGGGGCUGUUGUUAUGGGAAAGUGUCAUUUUAUUUUGUUUUCAGUCUCGGGAGGGGAGGAGGCAAAUGUGCUUGGCUUUCCAGCUUCAGGCCAGUCUCUGUCACCCACCUGUGUUUCCCCUGGGUCAGAGCUGUGCUUCCAAAUCCUGAAACUCAUUCUGAGUAUAGCUGUUACUGUUAGAAAACAUGUUAGCUGGGGAGGAGGAGGCAUGAGGAAGCAUACUUUUGAGGUUUUCUCUAUUUUCCCUGUAGUGUGUAAUUCAUACCUCUCUUUGAGAUGCUUUUUUUAAAUACUAUUCGUUUCAUAGGUGAUUCUAGAGCAGAUUGUUGAUAGUCGUCUGAGUGAUCUCCAGCUCAUGUAUGAUAAACUCUUGGAGUUCGUUCCCCAUCACUGCCGCCUUCUUCGAGAGGUCACAGGAGGAGCCAUCUCAAGAAAUAUACCAUAAGUAUGGAUUUUGUAAGAACAUUUGAACGGCAGUGUGGAUCACAGGCCAGUAUAAAAAGAUUAAGAGCACAUCCUGCCUAUCACAGCUUCAGUAAUAAGUGGAACUUGCCUGUUUAUUUUCAAAUAAGUUACUAUUUUAAUGGUUGAACAGUGCACCUCAAAAGUUCUGUCAUCAAUACACAGUGAAUGGACUCCAGUGAUGAAGGCUCCAGAGAGAUGGCACACUAUUUUUGAGUGAAAGUUUGUGAUGGAGUGUCUCCAAAUUGGAGGAGAAGAGGAUACGGGCUAGGGGAUAUAGGCAGGAUUUAGAGAAAUAGCAGGAUCCUUAGAGGCAGCACUUACAGAUGUCCUGGAAGAUGCACAAGGUAACAUCCUCAAAGUGACAGAGGCUAUCUUUAAGCGGGCUAAUUCCUUUCACCAAGUCUUCUUGGUGGCCUUAGCGCCCUGGGAGCACUUUGACCUUUUGCUCUCUUCCAGUAGUGUUACUUGCUCAGUUGUGUCCAACUCUUUGCAACCUCAUAGAUUGUAGCCUAUCAGGCUCCUCUGUCCAUGAAAUUCUCCAAGCAAGAUUACUGGAGUGGGUAGCCAUUCCUGACCCAGGGAUCAAACCCAGGUCUCCUGCACUGCAUGCAGAUGAUUUACCGUCAGGGCCACCAGGGAAGUAAGUUAGACCCUGAAGAUAAUAGUUUAAGUUCUUUUUUUAAAAACGGUUUCUAGAGCUUCCGGCUGUAUAGAGACGAUGUAAAGGAUGCUUUAAGAACACAGGAAGGAGACCACAUUUUCGCUUCUGAAUAUAAUGUGUCAAGGGGAUAUAACCCCUGCUGUGCUUAAGUGACAGCCUUUUUUUGUAGCCUUGUGGCUACCCUCCACUUCCCUCUCAAGCUGAGGGAAAGGAUCAGAAUGUCCCUUCCCUCCAGAGAAUGACUCUCAGCUCAGACUGCUGCCUCAGGCCUCCAGAGCCCUUGGCCCAGUCCUGGGUCAGUGGGCGGGUGGCUGGGGUCAGCCUACGCUUUCCAGACGUGUUUGCAGCUAGUCAUGCUUUAGACGUCCCUGGUGCCUGCUCACCUAGAUGGCUGUUCCUGUAGCCACAAAGCUCCACUCCACUGUGCUCCCUUUUGUGCGGCCAAGUUCCAUCUAAACUGCACUCUUCUAGCCUCAGAAGUUUAUUUUCAGCUGUCUUUGCAAAAAUAGCCAUGUGUAAUUGACUUCCUAUAUUUAAAUAGCAUAUUCAGGAGUGGAAAAGAAGACAGGACAAAUUCAAAACCAAAGAUUAAACCCUUGCAAGUGACUGCCACUCCAAUUCGCAUUUGUUGCUUUAUUAUAAAGUACCUGUUAACUGAUUAUUUCUGAUUGUUAUAUAUGUUUAAUAUGCAUCAAAUACCUGGGAGAAGGAGUCAUGUAAAAUUAGAAAACAGCGUUUAAAGGCCUCUUGGCUGUCCACUUCACCUCCCUAAAUCUCUGCCGACUUCAUAGGAUUCUUCAGAAUGUCAUUGGCUUCACUCUUGGCUUGUCUGUUGAAGAUUUUAGCUGUUAGCCCUUCCGCUGCGACUCCUUAACUGCAUUUUUACCUCUAGCUGGGAGCUCGUAUCGUCUUUUGGCUUCUCAUAGGACGUGGAGCAGCCUUCAGAGGUGCUGGCCUGACAAGAUGUUUUUGCCGCUGCUGGUGCAUCAUCUGUGGAGCCUGACACUGCAGAUUCUGGCGCGGUUCUCCAUGUUUAUCAAGGAGGUGAGGGCUGGCUGGUGCUCAUCCCUAAUCAAGACUGAAAUGAAUUAAAGAUAGGUUAAGCUAAACGUGCCAAGAUUUUUAAAGCCCAUGUGGUCAUGAGAGGUUGAUGCAAGGGCUAUAGUCCAACUUCCCAAGUUUCUAUCGGUUUCACUGGAUUUCCUUUUCACUCUUGUUUAUGUGACCUUUAGGGGCAUCAGUUGUCACAUAUUCAUUGCUUUGUCCUUUUGAAAAGCACCACGUUGACCUCAUUUUCCCUUAGGAAAACCAGAAUCUUUGUAUGGUGCCUCCAAUACAGAGGCACCAUAAAACAGAGAUGAUCAUUUUAAUGAAGAUGAUAAAAAUAUGCAUAUUUUUCCUUAAUAUUUGGAAAUUGAAAAACACCAAAUGGCUGAGAUUAGAAGGUCGUAAAGUUGAUUAACCUUCCGUUUGUUUCAGAAACCCUUUUCAGCUUGGCUGUAUUAGGUAUUCACAUGUCUAUGAUGACUGAUUAGUUUUUGUGCAUAAAGCCACAGGAGCAUUCAUGUGGUCCAGUGCUGAGCACCCGGCCCCACCAGGUCCGCUCCAGGUCUCAGAGAUGCCUGCUGCACAGACAGCUCAGUGAUAGACACACACCCCGGCCAGUGCAAGGUGAUGAGUAUAAGAGAGCGUGAGCGGAAGUGUAGGAAAGACGACAUGGAGAAGCCAUCAUCCAUGGACACGGAAGCACUCUGUCAACUGGAGGAGAGUGUUUCAGCACAGGCUUCAAGUCAAAGUCAGACCUUGGCCCUGCUGCUCUUUAAUUUUGUGGUCUUAGGGAAAUUGGCUGAAUCUCAGAUUCUUUGUCUGUAAAAUAGGAACACAGCUUCUACAUGUGCUUGUUGUGAGGUGAGGAGUAAAGAGAUUUCUUGCCUAGCAAACUGAUAAUGAAGGUGCCCAGCAGAUAAUGGUGCUCCAUCCAAGUUCCUCUCCUCUUCCUCCUUUGCCUCCCUCUACUCAGAGGAGUCUCAGUAGAGCACCCUGCCCUAUGAACCUGUUCAUGAAGAUUGUGCAGUUCCUGGGACACCAUGGACUUGAUAUGACUCUCUGAGGCCUGGGCUUGCUUCAUCAUCCCCAGCAAGAUGCCAGCCAGUGAUUAUUCUUACACCUAGUAUAUUCCAUUCUUUUCUCGAUGCAAGUGCUCCUCUUAGGUUUUUUUUCCCUUGUAGCAGUCCAUUAUGCAGAGAACACUUAUGUCGUUUGUAUUAUUUGAAGCAUAAUUGAGGUUGAGACUUUUUUUUAUCCUUAUGAUGAUAAUUUAUUAAGUAAAUACAGUAAAUUGUUUACCUUAAGCAGCUAAUUAGCUUUUUAAAACCUAUGAUAUUCCGGAUCUUAAUUUUCCUUUAGUUUCGGGACCUCUUGCUUGCUUUCUGUUACUUAAGUCAAGGAGGUGAAAGUCACAUAGGGUGAAAGCUUGUCCUGUUUGUGUUUUUCACACCUACCUGGAGAGACAGGAUGUGGUCUCCUUUCUUGAGUUAACUUUCACUUAAUAGUUUGUAGACAGCUGGCAUUUUGUGUUGAGUUACAUGCUCAUGUAUCUUGCAGGUGGAAACAUUUUAUGGCUGAAAUCCUUUUUCAGCUCUUACUCGGGCCCAUCUCUAAUGAAAGUGCUAAGGAUAUUAAAAAGCCUUUGGUAACUGGCAGCAAAGAUCUUUCUAUCACCCAAGGCCAUCGCGAAGACCAAGCAAGUGGCCCUUCUGAAACAAAGCCCAUCGUCUCCAUUUCCAGCACUCCACUUGUCUAUGUGGUCACAGACCUGGACAGGCUUCAGGGGCAGUGAGCCUGUGUCACAGAGGAUUCUAAGUGUGGGGUUCAGUGUUCUCACUGUCCAGCCUCAUGGGGUUUAGACUUGUGGGUCCAGGGCCCCUGAGAGAGAGCACCCUUUCCCUCCCUCUGGUGUUGCCUCCACCUCCGACUGGCAUGCUGUCCUCCUUGGGGAGCAGCCUGUCUACCGCAUGCCUGCCUGGAGCCCCGGCUUCCCCUGAGUAGUGACGCCACAGGCCAGGGCAAGCCAGGCCCUCAUUAGCUCAGCUCACUCUGUGGAGCCAUGGUCUUUAAUGGGUUGGAUUCUAAUUGUUUCUAGUCUACUUACCCAGUACUUAUACUUUAAAAGUGCUGAGCUAUUAAAACGUCUUCCUGUUUCCUCCACAUAGGUUUCAUGUUCUUGCUUUUACCAUUAACAGAACUUUGUUUAAGAACAGAAUGUGUUUAAGUGUUCUGAUACAUAAUUCUGCUUUUUUCAGGUUUAAGUGUUUUGUGGUGCUUGGACAAAUACUGUAUGUGUUGAGCAAAAACAUGGUCUUCAUCAUAAGGUUCUCUUGGUAUUGAGGGGAGCUACAGAAUAGUGUUGAUAGCUGUGAAAAUACGAUUUUCCGUGUUGUUGAAUUAUCUUCUACUGAAAGCAUUAAUUAAGAAUUUUGUUUUCUUCUGAUGCAAGUUACUGAAAGUUUCAAGUUUAGCUUUAUCAUUGAUAACAUUCUAGAACUGUAGGUGCAUAUAGAAUUGUCUCUUCCUUUGAUUAAUAAAAAGUAACUGAAUAUAUAAAGUGCAUACUUAUUUCAGCUUAGAAAGCAUGAGAGGGCUUAUGAGAGCAUGGGAGGACAUGCAAGAAUUUGUGAUGCCAUUCGAGGGUGUGCAAGGAUGUGUGAGGCUGUGUGAGACUGGGUGAGCAAGUGCAACAGUGCAACACUUUGCAAAGCUGUGCAAAAGUGUGCGAGGGUGUGUGAGAGUGUGAGAUGG